UAGCCAUGAUGUGGGCACACACUUAGAAGAUCCUUAAACCUCUCCUAGCAUUGGAAAGAGGUUUCUUCCUCUUUCUGCAAGAAAUUCAUAAUAACUCUUCUAAGGGU